rnacentral:rRNA from 1 species
AGUGAACGCUGGCGGUAGGCCUAACACAUGCAAGUCGAACGGCCGCACAGUAAGAGCUUGCACUUACGGGUGGCGAGUGGCGGACGGGUGAGGAAUACAUCGGAAUCUACUUUUUCGUGGGGGAUAACGUAGGGAAACUUACGCUAAUACCGCAUACGACCUACGGGUGAAAGCAGGGGAUCUUCGGACCUUGCGCGAUCGAAUGAGCCGAUGUCGGAUUAGCUAGUUGGCGGGGUAAAGGCCCACCAAGGCGGCGAUCCGUAGCUGGUCUGAGAGGAUGAUCAGCCACACUGGAACUGAGACACGGUCCAGACUCCUACGGGAGGCAGCAGUGGGGAAUAUUGGACAAUGGGCGCAAGCCUGAUCCAGCCAUACCGCGUGGGUGAAGAAGGCCUUCGGGUUGUAAAGCCCUUUUGUUGGGAAAGAAAAGCAGCAGGUUAAUACCCCGCUGUUCUGACGGUACCCAAAGAAUAAGCGCCGGCUAACUACGUG